GUGAAGGAUAACGUUGCGUCAGCAACGGCCCGAAGGGCGAGGCGAAGCCGAGUCAUCCUGCACGACCCACCA
rnacentral:sRNA from 4 species